UAAGACACGCAGGGAGCAUUCCAAGCCAUCCUUAAGGAAGGACUGGGAUGAUAUCGGAAACAAGAAGGGGCAUAGCUGUUUGCCCUUGGGUUUUAACUAUUCAGGUAUGACUUUAGCACAGCAAGGAAGCAUGGGGCAUGUGGGGGCACCAAAAAGAGAAUUUGAAGGGGUCAGGGAUGUCCUCGAAGAACUGAGGCAGACUUUGGAGGCAGUCCUGCAGUACCCCUAGGAUAACCCUAAGGACAUUCUGUAUGUUCGAAUCUUGAACGCAAGGACUACAGGGAAAGAGCAAUGGCUCGAGUUAAGAGGACCUGGAUCCAAACCUCAGUACUCGUGUCUACUACCUGGGUGACCUUGGGAGCGAUGUGCAGCUAUGAGAGUUUGACUACAAGGAAUGCUGAGCACUUGCAGAAUCAAAGUUUUGAAUUGUGGUGCUGGAGAAGAGAUAUGGCUUGGACAGCAAGGAGAUCAAAUCCGUCAAUAUGUAAAGAAAUGAAUCAGACCCUUCACUGGAAGGUCAAAUACUGA
rnacentral:lncRNA from 1 species